rnacentral:rRNA from 1 species
AUUGAACGCUGGCGGCAUGCCUUACACAUGCAAGUCGAACGGCAGCACGGGAGCAAUCCUGGUGGCGAGUGGCGAACGGGUGAGUAAUAUAUCGGAACGUGCCCAGUCGUGGGGGAUAACGUAGCGAAAGCUACGCUAAUACCGCAUACGAUCUAUGGAUGAAAGCGGGGGAUCGCAAGACCUCGCGCGAUUGGAGCGGCCGAUAUCAGAUUAGGUUGUUGGUGGGGUAAAAGCUCACCAAGCCUGCGAUCUGUAGCUGGUCUGAGAGGACGACCAGCCACACUGGAACUGAGACACGGUCCAGACUCCUACGGGAGGCAGCAGUGGGGAAUUUUGGACAAUGGGCGCAAGCCUGAUCCAGCAAUGCCGCGUGCAGGAUGAAGGCCUUCGGUUGUAACUGCUUUAUCUGGAGUAACACUCUAUUAUGGGUGUUG